GAGGUUGAAUGUGGAGAGAAUGAAAUGUGUACAAAAUUUGUGUGUGGACGUUCUGGUUCGUGUUGAGACAGUUUGAACAUGAGGUCUUGUUGGUAUGAGUGCCCUCGCGCUGGUGUUUUCGUUGGUGGUGAGAUAGUUUGAAAGCUUUGAGUGGGUGUUUUCUGAUUUAUAAUAUGAUGGGUGGCACGGUACCCAGGACUAAAGCACCAGGUAAUGCAUAGGUUGAUUGGUAAUGUUUUGUAUUGAUUUCUUAAUAGGUGGUGAUUUGUAGGAAGCGGUUGUUCUGGUCACGAGCACAGGUGAGCGUGGUAUUUGGGCGGCUCGAUAUGUCAUGGGGGAAACAUGUUGGAAGGUGACAAGAAUAAAAGCAAUGAGCCACUUCUCACCUGAUGUGUUUAGUCUUUCGUUUUGGUAUUUUGGAACUUCUCGGAAUCAGGCUCUCCUCAGCUCAUGAUUUCAGGCUUUCAUUUUGUGAUUUUAUGACUCAUCGGUGUUCUUAAUUACUACCUCAUAAGUUCAAUUGGCUAAUACGGUUGGCAUGAACAUAGAUUGUUGCUAAAUUUCAGAGAUGCACUGUCAGUUCAGCUUUUUGUGAUUGCGGAACUGGUCGAAAUAGUUUUAU